GAUGAACGCUAGCGGCAGGCUUAACACAUGCAAGUCGAGGGGUAGAAGCAGCUUGCUGCUUUGAGACCGGCGCACGGGUGCGUAACGCGUAUGCAAUCUACCUUUUACAGAGGGAUAGCCCAGAGAAAUUUGGAUUAAUACCUCAUAGUAUAUUGAUUCGGCAUCGGAUUAAUAUUAAAGUUUCGGCGGUACAAGAUGAGCAUGCGUCCCAUUAGUUAGUUGGUAAGGUAACGGCUUACCAAGACAAUGAUGGGUAGGGGUCCUGAGAGGGAGAUCCCCCACACUGGUACUGAGACACGGACCAGACUCCUACGGGAGGCAGCAGUGAGGAAUAUUGGGCAAUGGGCGGAAGCCUGACCCAGCCAUGCCGCGUGCAGGAAGACGGUCCUAUGGAUUGUAAACUGCUUUUAUACGGGAAGAAACACCCCCUCGUGAGGGGACUUGACGGUACCGUAAGAAUAAGGAUCGGCUAACUCCGUG
rnacentral:rRNA from 1 species